rnacentral:lncRNA from 1 species
UUUUUUUUUUUUUUUCUCUUUUGGAAUUGCAGUGAAUUUCUCGGCAGCCAAACAGAAAUUAAAAAAAAAAGACAGAAAAUUGAUGGUGAGAAGUUGGGGCAGCGAGAAGUGGAGGGCAUGAAGAUGAAGGAAGCGAGAGAGAAGCUGAAGGAGGCGAUUCGGAAGAUGAGGAUGAGGUAGUUGAAGCGCCUGAGCCUCCGUAGUGAGACAAUGGAAUGGAAGGGAUGGUUUGGGAUCAGGUACGGCGUCGGGAGAGGGAGAGAUAUAAAAUAAGGAAGAGAGAAUGGGUCGGGAGAGGCUGAAAGAAAGAAAAGAAAAAAAAAACAUGAAGGGGAAUUUUGUAGAAGAUGACUUUGAAGAACAUGAAGAAAUGAGUUUGAAGUUGAAGCAAACGAGUUUGAGGAAGAAGACGACGUCGACCGAUAGGCUGUCUCGCGCACGUGAAAUCAUUUCACUUGUUGACCUUAGGAGCAGGUUUCUCAUGUUUUUAAAAAAAGGCACAUGACUGCCAUGUG